rnacentral:rRNA from 1 species
GACGAACGCUGGCGGCGGGCUUAACACAUGCAAGUCGAACGGAAAGGCCCUGCGUUUGUGGGGUGCUCGAGUGGCGAACGGGUGAGUAACACGUGAGUAACCUGCCCUUGACUUUGGGAUAACUUCAGGAAACUGGGGCUAAUACCGGAUAGGAGCUCCUGCUGCAUGGUGGGGGUUGGAAAGUUUCGGCGGGUGGGGAUGGACUCGCGGCUUAUCAGCUUGUUGGUGGGGUAGGGGCUUACCAAGGCUUUGACGGGUAGCCGGCCUGAGAGGGUGACCGGCCACAUUGGUACUGAGAUACGGCCCAGACUCCUACGGUAGGCAGCAGUCGGGAAUCUUGCACAAUGGGCGGAAGCCUGAUGCAGCAACGCCGCGUGCGGGAUGACGGCCUUCGGGUUGUAAACCGCUUUCGCCUGUGACGACGCGUGAGUGACGGUAAUGGGUAAAGAAGCACCGGCUAACUACGUG